UGGAAUACCCUCUUUAUUGAUUAGUUAC
rnacentral:piRNA from 1 species